rnacentral:tRNA from 1 species
AAAGAUUUAGUUUAAUUUAAAACAUUAAUUUGUCACUUUAAAAAUAUUUAGUAAAUAAUCUUUU